GGCGUGCUGUAUUCUGAAUCUAGCCCUGAGUCAAAAGACACAAUGAAUUAUGACAAAAGUGGGUGUAUUCCAGAGAUGGGAGGUUAGAAAAUAAUACGAAAAUGAUAUUAUUCUGACCUUACUCUAUUACUCAGCCCCAAUUCCCCCACACUUUGUGAACCUUUUUGUGAGUACAAUGCUAAGGCAGUUUAAAAAAAUGCAACUAUAUACAAGUUCAUCAAUUCCAGAUGUAAAGUCAAUAGCAAUUCAAGUGAUGACCACAGCAGUAACCUGGAGACCUGCAGUCUCAAUGUAUCAGGUAAAUGACGGUCCUGAGGAACAGAUGUCAGGACAUCAGAUGUGAAGUUAAAGGAUCCAUCUAAAGACUAUCUGUGGCGACCAAAGGGAGCCACAGUGAGGCAGCCAAACGUGAGCACUGAGAUGAAGGAAAUAGGCCCGAAGCAGCCUGCUCAUGCUCUGAGACUGGAGGAAGAGGGUGAACGCAAUCUCUGGAGGGAAGCCCUGACUUCAGGCAGCUCAGGCACAGAAUGACCCAUUACACUGAGUAGAUACUCCCGUCUGCUAUCAGAUGCCUGCCUAGUGUCACAGCAUCUCAUCUGCAAGAUGACUCACAUCUCGUCUGUGAGAUAACCUACAAUCUGGGUUACAUGCAUCUGCAGCACCUCAUCUGCAAGAUAACCCCCAAUCUGGGUUAUAAGCACAGAACUCAUCUCCUCAGGAAAUGAUAUCAAAUAAUAAGAAAUAAAUUGCUUGCCUUGCAUAAAAAGAGCCAUUCAAUAAAUGUUGUAUUAUAAUCUGAGAAUUGAACAAGGCCUAUGAAAAAGUCCUGCAUUUAUGCCUAAAAGUUUAGUUCAUGACUUCAAAUAUUGAAACCCACUUUUUACAAAGUAGUAUGUGUCUUUGACUUUUAAAAAGUGCAUUUUACCGUGUUGGUUGAGAAAAUAUAAUAAUCUUAGUUAGACUCUUCCUCUAACCUCCCAAAUCAAAACCAAACCAAAAUAAAACAGCACUCUGAGAGGUUUAAGCUGUAUAUAAUGAAGCAAAAGUUGCUGUCUGUACUCCAGGAAUCUGGAGUCCCAGAGAAGGUGUGGACAUUGUUGGAAAUUGGCUUCUAGCCCACAAAUCUCUGCUCUGUCCAUGUAACUAGUGAUAACCAUAGCCAUAGUCUGCAGAUACACCAUUGUAGUGCAAUGAUGGAGGGAUAGCACUUAAAUAUGAAAACAGCAAUUAAGAGCAUAUUUACCAUUUUCUUCUUAGUAUAUAUCCUACAAGUGUGCAGGAUAGUUUGCUAGAUGCUAAAACAACGACAUAAAAAAUGACAGGAGGGAAAUGCAAAUAAAUAAAGGACAAGCCCCGAAAAGCAUUAAGGCAGUAACCAAGCUGAGUAAAUAAACACCAGUGCCUGUAUUUUUAUUAUUUUCUAAUACCUAGUAAUGUGAAGUACAGGUGAGAUAUGGAAAAAUAAGCUUAGUGUUGUGGCAGUUUCAGGGACAGAAUAUACACAAGAAAUCACUUAAAAUAUUAAGGGAAAGAAAGACAAAAUGCACAUGCCACAGAGAACAAACAGGCCAG
rnacentral:lncRNA from 1 species